CGUAGGGUGCGAGCGUUAAUCGGAAUUACUGGGCGUAAAGCGUGCGCAGGCGGUUCGUUAAGUUCGUUGUGAAAGCCCCGGGCUCAACCUGGGAACGGCAAUGGAAACUGGCGGGCUCGAGUGCGGCAGAGGGGGGUGGAAUUCCACGUGUAGCAGUGAAAUGCGUAGAGAUGUGGAGGAACACCGAUGGCGAAGGCAACCCCCUGGGCUGACACUGACGCUCAGGCACGAAAGCGUGGGGAGCAAACAGGAUUAGAUACCCUGGUAGUCCACGCCCUAAGCCAUGUCAACUGGGUGUUGGGGAAGCGAUUCCCUAGUACCGCAGCUAACGCGUGAAGUUGACCGCCUGGGGAGUACGGCCGCAAGGUUA
rnacentral:rRNA from 1 species